CACUUCUUUUGUGAUUCUUUAGUUACUUUAGGCCAUCUGGGCGUAUACAUGCAGGUCACAGGGGAUGCAAUGGCUUGGCUUGGGCUCAGAGGCCUGACAGCUACUAAGUCUUUAUUUUAUGCCAAAUUCUCCUCUAAAUGCAGUACAGUAUAUCUUAUUUCAUUUUAAUCCUCAUAACAGGUCUAAAGCAAAGAUACUAUUAUUAUUUUACAGAUAAGAAAACUAAAGCUUGGUGAAGUUAAGUCGCUUGCCCCGGAUCACACAGAUCGUGGCAAAACUAACAAUCAAAUUAGGGCCUGACUCCAGAGGCCAAGCUCUGACUUUUACAUGUGCUGCCUCCCAGUGGGAAGAGCUGGCAUCAAGAACGACAUCUUUCACACUGGACAUGUUCACAAAUGACUGGUGAAUACUAAGGGAUUAACAUAAGAUCACUAAACCACCUCUAUGCUCCUCUUUUUGAGAAAAAGAAAAGAAAAAUGAGAAACAAUGGAUCUUCAGAGCUAAGUUGAAGUUAAGGAUUAUUUAGUUUAUUCUCAUUGUUUUAUAAAUGAUUAAAGUAGACCCAGAGAGGACAUUUUUACCAUUGAUACUGCUAUGAUUACUACUAUUGUUGCUAUUAUCAUUGUCUUCAUGUUCUGAGGCUUACCCAUGGCCACCCAUGGACCAAUCGGCACACACUUCCUCCCCUCUGAGGCCCAUAAAAGCCCUGAGAUCAGCCAGAGCAGAGCAGACAUCAGGACAACCAGCUGCAGAGAGAAGCAACCCACUCCAGGGCCGCCACACUGCUGAGAGCUAGGCAGACAAUGGGAUCACCUGCCUGCAGAGAGGAGCUUCCCACUUCAGGGUCUCCUCUCUGCUAAGAGCUAAACACUUGUCAGGACACUCUGGUUGUGGAAAGGAACUACCCUAUUGCUCAAUAAAGUUCCUCUUUAUCUUGCUCACCCUCCACUUUUCUGUGUACCUCAUUCUUCCUGGUCACAGGAGAAGAACUUGGGACCUGUCGAGUAGUGGGGCUGAAAGAGCUAUAAGACAAACAGGGCUGAAACAUGCCCCUAGAUCACCACAUUGCAGGCAAAGAGAAGGAGAGAAGAGCUGCAGCCCUUCAGGGAGCCCAGACCUGGGAACCGUCUGAGCCAGGUCUGUGACUUCCUCUUCAGAGCUCUGUGGUUCCUGGUGUCUCCAAGCUUCCAGGCAUA
rnacentral:lncRNA from 10 species